rnacentral:lncRNA from 1 species
UUUGAAUCCCCACCCUGCGGACCCCGCGCGCCUCGCCUUCUCCCUCUGGUUGGCGAGCGCCUUUCUGCGCCUUCAGGCAUUUUUGCUGAGGCUUUUGUCUGCGCAUGUGCGGCAGUGAGAUCUCAGCCAGGCCAGAAAAAGCUGCCAUGCCAAAAGCGGCCGACACUAACUCCACGCGGUGCUCCUGGAAACGUCGGGCUCCCAGCUCCCAUGAGGCAGAAAACGGGCAUCUAUUCUUUUAACAUACCAAAUAUUUGAGCACUUACCACGCGUCGGGCACUGAUUUACAGCACAGAGUGAAACUAAGUCCCUGCCCUUGCCUUGCUGAGCUUGCAUUCCAUCUUGGAAGGAGGAACAGACAAUAAUUAGCAAAAGUACAAUGACUGGUAAGUGACAAAUGCCAUCAAGAAAUUUGAGCACCUUUAGAAGGCAGCGAAAGGGAGGGUGGGAUGACUGUUUAAUAGGUCAUCCAGGGAAUUUCAAGACCGGCCUGGCCAACAUAGCGAAACCCUGUCUCUACCACAAAUACAAAAAUUAGCCGGGCGUGGUG